rnacentral:tRNA from 2 species
AGGAAGUGGUGUAGUGGAGGCACUAAGA